AGCGAACGCUGGCGGCAGGCCUAACACAUGCAAGUCGAACGAACCUUUCGGGGUUAGUGGCGGACGGGUGAGUAACACGUGGGAACGUGCCUUUAGGUUCGGAAUAACUCAGGGAAACUUGUGCUAAUACCGAAUGUGCCCUUCGGGGGAAAGAUUUAUCGCCUUUAGAGCGGCCCGCGUCUGAUUAGCUAGUUGGUUGAGGUAAUGGCUCACCAAGGCGACGAUCAGUAGCUGGUCUGAGAGGAUGAUCAGCCACAUUGGGACUGAGACACGGCCCAAACUCCUACGGGAGGCAGCAGUGGGGAAUCUUGCGCAAUGGGCGAAAGCCUGACGCAGCCAUGCCGCGUGAAUGAUGAAGGUCUUAGGAUUGUAAAAUUCUUUCACCGGAGACGAUAAUGACGGUACCCGGAGAAGAAGCCCCGGCUAACUUCGUG
rnacentral:rRNA from 1 species